CCUACGGGUGGCAGCAGUAGGGAAUAUUGCUCAAUGGGGGAAACCCUGAAGCAGCAACGCCGCGUGGAGGAUGAAGGUUUUCGGAUUGUAAACUCCUUUUGUUAGAGAAGAUAAUGACGGUAUCUAACGAAUAAGCACCGGCUAACACCGUGCCGGCAGCCGCGGAAAUACGGGGGGUGCAAGCGUUACUCGGAAUCACUGGGCGUAAGGGGCGCGUAGGCGGGAUAGCAGGUCAGAUGUAAAAUCCUAUGGUUAAACCAUAGAACUGCAUUGGAAACUGUUAUUCUAGAGUAUGUGAGGGUUAGGUGAAAUUCUUGGUGGAGGGGUAAAAUCUGUAGAGAUAAAGAGAAAUAC
rnacentral:rRNA from 1 species